rnacentral:rRNA from 1 species
CCGAUUAGCUAGUUGGUGGGGUAAGGGCCUACCAAGGCGACGAUCGGUAGCUGGUCUGAGAGGAUGGCCAGCCACACUGGAACUGAGACACGGUCCAGACUCCUACGGGAGGCAGCAGUGGGGAAUAUUGGACAAUGGGGGGAACCCUGAUCCAGCAAUGCCGCGUGUGUGAAGAAGGCCUGAGGGUUGUAAAGCACUUUCAGUGGGGAGGAGGGUUGAUUGGUUAAGAGCUGAUUAACUGGACGUUACCCACAGAAGAAGCACCGGCUAACUCCGUGCCAGCAGCCGCGGUAAUACGGAGGGUGCAAGCGUUAAUCGGAAUUACUGGGCGUAAAGCGUGCGUAGGUGGUUGAUUAAGUUAUCUGUGAAAUCCCUGGGCUUAACCUGGGCAGGUCAGAUGAUACUGGUUGACUCGAGUAUGGGAGAGGGUAGUGGAAUUUCCGGUGUAGCGGUGAAAUGCGUAGAGAUCGGAAGGAACACCAGUGGCGAAGGCGGCUACC